rnacentral:misc_RNA from 1 species
AACGCACAUUGCGCCCAUUAGUAUUCUAGUGGGCAUGCCUGUUCGAGCGUCAUUAAGUCCUUUAAGCCCUGUUGCUUAGCGUUGGGAGCCUGCUGGCGCAAGCCUGCAACUCCCCAAAAUCAGUGGCGGAGUCGGCGUAUGCUCUAGGCGUAGUAAUUUUCAACUCGUCUCUGUGGCUGCGCUGGCGCCUGCCGUAAAACCCCCAACUCUUAGUGGUUUGACCUCGGAUCAGGUAGGAAUACCCGCUGAACUUAA